rnacentral:rRNA from 1 species
UUAAGUUAGAAAGGGCGCACGGUGGAUGCCUUGACACUAGGAGUCGAUGAAGGACGGGACUAACGCCGAUAUGCUUCGGGGAGCUGUAAGUAAGCUUUGAUCCGAAGAUUUCCGAAUGGGGAAACCCACUAUACGUAAUGGUAUGGUAUCCUUACCUGAAUACAUAGGGUAUGGAAGACAGACCCAGGGAACUGAAACAUCUAAGUACCUGGAGGAAGAGAAAGCAAAUGCGAUUUCCUGAGUAGCGGCGAGCGAAACGGAAUCUAGCCCAAACCAAGAGGCUUGCCUCUUGGGGUUGUAGGACAUUCUAUACGGAGUUACAAAGGAACGAGGUAGACGAAGCGACCUGGAAAGGUCCGUCACAGAGGGUAAUAACCCCGUAGUCGAAACUUCGUUCUCUCUUGAAUGUAUCCUGAGUACGGCGGAACACGUGAAAUUCCGUCGGAAUCUGGGAGGACCAUCUCCCAAGGCUAAAUACUCCCUAGUGAUCGAUAGUGAACCAGUACCGUGAGGGAAAGGUGAAAAGCACCCCGGAAGGGGAGUGAAAGAGAUCCUGAAACCGUGUGCCUACAAAUAGUCAGAGCCCGUUAAUGGGUGAUGGCGUGCCUUUUGUAGAAUGAACCGGCGAGUUACGAUCCCGUGCGAGGUUAAGCUGAAGAGGCGGAGCCGCAGCGAAAGCGAGUCUGAAUAGGGCGUUUAGUACGUGGUCGUAGACCCGAAACCAGGUGAUCUACCCAUGUCCAGGGUGAAGUUCAGGUAACACUGAAUGGAGGCCCGAACCCACGCACGUUGAAAAGUGCGGGGAUGAGGUGUGGGUAGCGGAGAAAUUCCAAUCGAACCUGGAGAUAGCUGGUUCUCCCCGAAAUAGCUUUAGGGCUAGCCUUAAGUGUAAGAGUCUUGGAGGUAGAGCACUGAUUGAACUAGGGGUCCUCAUCGGAUUACUGAAUUCAGUCAAACUCCGAAUGCCAAUGACUUAUCCUUAGGAGUCAGACUGCGAGUGAUAAGAUCCGUAGUCAAGAGGGAAACAGCCCAGAUCGCCAGCUAAGGUCCCAAAGUGUGUAUUAAGUGGAAAAGGAUGUGGAGUUGCUUAGACAACUAGGAUGUUGGCUCAGAAGCAGCCACCAUUUAAAGAGUGCGUAAUAGCUCACUAGUCGAGUGACUCUGCGCCGAAAAUGUACCGGGGCUAAAUACACCACCGAAGCUGCGAAUUGAUACCAAUGGUAUCAGUGGUAGGGGAGCGUUCUAAGUGCAGUGAAGUCAGACCGGAAGGACUGGUGGAGCGCUUAGAAGUGAGAAUGCCGGUAUGAGUAGCGAAAGACGGGUGAGAAUCCCGUCCACCGAAUGCCUAAGGUUUCCUGAGGAAGGCUCGUCCGCUCAGGGUUAGUCAGGACCUAAGCCGAGGCCGACAGGCGUAGGCGAUGGACAACAGGUUGAUAUUCCUGUACCACCUCUUUAUCGUUUGAGCAAUGGAGGGACGCAGAAGGAUAGAAGAAGCGUGCGAUUGGUUGUGCACGUCCAAGCAGUUAGGCUGAUAAGUAGGCAAAUCCGCUUAUCGUGAAGGCUGAGCUGUGAUGGGGAAGCUCCUUAUGGAGCGAAGUCUUUGAUUCCCCGCUGCCAAGAAAAGCUUCUAGCGAGAUAAAAGGUGCCUGUACCGCAAACCGACACAGGUAGGCGAGGAGAGAAUCCUAAGGUGUGCGAGAGAACUCUGGUUAAGGAACUCGGCAAAAUGACCCCGUAACUUCGGGAGAAGGGGUGCUUUCUUAACGGAAAGCCGCAGUGAAUAGGCCCAAGCGACUGUUUAGCAAAAACACAGGUCUCUGCGAAGCCGUAAGGCGAAGUAUAGGGGCUGACACCUGCCCGGUGCUGGAAGGUUAAGGAGAGGGGUUAGCGUAAGCGAAGCUCUGAACUGAAGCCCCAGUAAACGGCGGCCGUAACUAUAACGGUCCUAAGGUAGCGAAAUUCCUUGUCGGGUAAGUUCCGACCCGCACGAAAGGUGUAACGAUUUGGGCACUGUCUCAACCAGAGACUCGGUGAAAUUAUAGUACCUGUGAAGAUGCAGGUUACCCGCGACAGGACGGAAAGACCCCGUGGAGCUUUACUGUAGCCUGAUAUUGAAUUUUGGUACAGUUUGUACAGGAUAGGCGGGAGCCAUUGAAACCGGAGCGCUAGCUUCGGUGGAGGCGCUGGUGGGAUACCGCCCUGACUGUAUUGAAAUUCUAACCUACGGGUCU